rnacentral:lncRNA from 1 species
CCAGAAGUUGUAGAAUUUGGACUGUGGCUUACACGACCACAUGAGAUCCACGGGGAGCUGGAGGAGCCUGGAGCCUGUCUGCAUCCCUGCCAUCUAGGACGUCAGCAGAGAAGCCACAGGUCGGGAGCUGCAAAGAUGGAUGCCUUGUGCCCUGCCCCAGCCUCCCAAGGGUAAAGGAAUAUGGCUGCACCUUUCCUUCCAUCUUCCAAGUCUCGCACAUUGCUAGGGUUUGAAUGUGUCCCCAGAUUUCACGUGCUGGAAAUUUGAUUCCCAAUAUGGCAGUAUGGAGGAAUGAGGCCUUUCAGAGGUGAUUGGUUAUGGUGAUCCUGCCCUCAUGGAUGGGUGGAUUCAUUCAUGGACUAAUGGGUUCAUGGACCAAUGGAUUAUCAUGGGAGUGGGGCUGGUGGCUUUAUAAAAGAGGGGAUGGGCAUGGUGGCUCACUCCUGUAAUCCCAACACUUUGGGAGGCCGAGGCAGGUGGAUCACUUGAGGUCAGUAGUUCAAGACCAGGGCAACAGGUGAAACACCAACUCUACUAAAAAUACAAAAAUCAGCCGGGUGUGGUGGCAGGUGCCUGUAAUCCCAGCUACUUGGGAGGCUGAGGCAGGAGAAUUGCUUGAACCCUGGAGGCAGAGGUUGCAGUGAGCCAAGAUUGCACCAUUGCACUCCGCCUAGGCAACAGAGUGAUACUCCAUCUCAAAAGAAAAAAAAAAAAAAAAGAGGACGAUAAAUCUGAGCACCUUAGCACCCUCAGCCCCCCUUGCCAUGUGAUGCCCUGACCACCUCAUGACUCUGCAGAGAAUCUCCACCAGCAAGAAGGCCCUCACCAGAUUUAGUCCCUAGACCUUGGACUUCUCAGCCUCCCAAAAUGUAAGAAAU